rnacentral:lncRNA from 1 species
GGGCUAAAUUGUAAAAGCUAGGGUGCCAUAAUAGAAAUAAUAAAAUUGGUGUAUUACAUAUGGGGGUUAAAUAGCAAAAGUUAGAGUGCCAUAGUAGAAUUAAUGAAAUUGGUGAAUUACAUAUGGGGCUAAAUUACAAAAGUUAGGGAGUAAUAAUAGAAUUAAAGAAAUCGGUGUACUACAUAUGGGGCUAAAUUGUAAAAGUUAAGGUAUCAUAAUGGAAUUAAUGGAAUUUUUUACAACAUUUGGGGCUAAAUCGCAAAAGUUAGGGUGGCACAGUAGAAUUAAUGAAAGUGACUUAGAAAUAAGUACUUUAAACAGUGACGAUUAAUUCUUGUCACUAAAUCCGAAUCGGUAGAGUGACAGUGACGAUAUUAGAAGUUGUCACUAUAUAG